AUGUAUUGUUAUAUAUGGAUUGAACUCCAUGUGAUAUAUGUUUGUGUAUCUUUAUGUGAUGAAACUUCAGUUUGAGUCUGGGUAUCAUAUAUGUGCUGGUUUGCAAUUGUAUUUUUUUUUUGUAUUUAUAUUGUCCGUUGGACUGUCCGACGCUAAAAUUGCAUGGACUGUUGGAUCAUCUGUCGUUGUAGGUAUGGUAACAGACUAGCUGUCGCUGAAAAAUAGCAAUGGAUGGUCUGACGCAAAAUAUAUUAAGGGUGACAGACUGUCUGACGCUAAAAGUAUGGUCUGACGCUGUAUCUUUUUAGCAUCAGCACUUACACCGUCUGUAGAAGUCUGACGCUAUAUAUUUUUAGCGUCAGACCAUCUGACAUUGUAGCCGCUUUUAGCGUUAGAUCAUCCGACGCUAAUUAUGGUGUUGUUGUGUAGUGGUACAAGCAGAGGGUGCAAUAACCAUAGUACAUUUGACCAUCUGCAAAACAACAUGGGAGUAGAACCAUGAGUACGAGAAUGUACUCAGCUAGACUUACCCGUCAUAAACCAAAAAUAAAGACUCUUCAAGGAUCAUGAAGGCUAUAUAGUGGGGUGGCUGAGACUUUUGCAUAAAAGCAUUGUUCCACUAAACAUAGUCUAAAAACCAUUGUUCUUUUAAUUAGCUCAAGUUCAAUAUUAUCAUUACCUAUUAUCUAGGUUUGCAUCUGUACUAUUACAAGCAAGUGUAGUAAUAUGAUGGUACCUCAUCAUAGCAUUCAUGAAACCAUUUAUCAUUAUAACCCAAGUGUUCCAUAGUCCUUACUAUGAGGACAGGGCUCAUGUCAAGUGCUCACUAUCC
rnacentral:lncRNA from 1 species